rnacentral:rRNA from 1 species
GAGUUUGAUCCUGGCUCAGGAUGAACGCUAGCGGCAGGCUUAAUACAUGCAAGGCGAAGGGGCAGCAAUGUCACUGUCGUACGGGUGCGUAACGCGUAUGCAACCUACCUUUUACUGGGGGAUAGCCCGGGGAAACCCGGAUUAAUACCGCAUAACACAUUUAUAUCACCUGAUAUUUAUUGUUAAAGAUUUAUUGGUAAAAGAUGGGCAUGCGUUCGAUUAGCUAGUUGGCAGGGUAACGGCCUACCAAGGCUACGAUCGAUAGGGGAGCUGAGAGGUUGAUCCCCCACACGGGCACUGAGAUACGGGCCCGACUCCUACGGGAGGCAGCAGUAGGGAAUAUUGGGCAAUGGAUGCAAGUCUGACCCAGCCAUGCCGCGUGCCGGAAAAAGGCCCUCAGGUUUGUAAACG